rnacentral:rRNA from 1 species
GUGGGGAAUAUUGCACAAUGGGCGAAAGCCUGAUGCAGCAACGCCGCGUGAGGGACGACGGCCUUCGGGUUGUAAACCUCUUUUAGUAGGGAAGAAGCGAAAGUGACGGUACCUGCAGAAAAAGCACCGGCUAACUACGUGCCAGCAGCCGCGGUAAUACGUAGGGUGCAAGCGUUAUCCGGAAUUAUUUGGCGUAAAGAGCUCGUAGGCGGUCUGUCGCGUCUGCUGUGAAAACUGGAGGCUCAACCUCCAGCCUGCAGUGGGUACGGGCAGACUAGAGUGCGGUAGGGGAGAUUGGAAUUCCUGGUGUAGCGGUGGAAUGCGCAGAUAUCAGGAGGAACACCGAUGGCGAAGGCAGAUCUCUGGGCCGUAACUGACGCUGAGGAGCGAAAGCGUGGGGAGCGAACAGGAUUAGAAACCCCGGUAGUCC